UACGAGGGUGCAAGCGUUAAUCGGAAUUACUGGGCGUAAAGGGUGCGUAGGCGGUUCGUUAAGUCUGUCGUGAAAUCCCCGGGCUCAACCUGGGAAUGGCGAUGGAUACUGGCGAGCUAGAGUGUGUCAGAGGAUGGUGGAAUUCCCGGUGUAGCGGUGAAAUGCGUAGAGAUCGGGAGGAACAUCAGUGGCGAAGGCGGCCAUCUGGGACAACACUGACGCUGAAGCACGAAAGCGUGGGGAGCAAACAGG
rnacentral:rRNA from 1 species